GAUGAACGCUGGCGGCGUGCCUAAUACAUGCAAGUCGAGCGAACAGACGAGGAGCUUGCUCCUCUGACGUUAGCGGCGGACGGGUGAGUAACACGUGGAUAACCUACCUAUAAGACUGGGAUAACUUCGGGAAACCGUAGCUAAUACCGGAUAAUAUUUUGAACCGCAUGGUUCAAUAGUGAAAGACGGUUUUGCUGUCACUUAUAGAUGGAUCCGCGCCGCAUUAGCUAGUUGGUAAGGUAACGGCUUACCAAGGCGACGAUGCGUAGCCGACCUGAGAGGGUGAUCGGCCACACUGGAACUGAGACACGGUCCAGACUCCUACGGGAGGCAGCAGUAGGGAAUCUUCCGCAAAGGGCGAAAGCCUGACGGAGCAACGCCGCGUGAGUGAUGAAGGUCUUCGGAUCGUAAAACUCUGUUAUUAGGGAAGAACAAAUGUGUAAGUAACUAUGCACGUCUUGACGGUACCUAAUCAGAAAGCCACGGCUAACUACGUG
rnacentral:rRNA from 1 species